AGCAGCAAACAUUGAGAGUAUACCAGUUCCACAACCGAUAUCAAGGACUGUUUUGCCUUUGAACAGAUGUUUGUUAUGGUACAUAGAGUUACGAAACAGAUUCUCUACAAGACGAUGGAGUUGCAUCUUUGUUUGGCGCAGAGGUAGUUUCUGUUACUUCCAUGGAUUCCAUUUUUGAUACCUACAAUAAUAUAAAACACAAAGAAUUAUCGUUAACGAUAUACAUGAAUUUGAAAGACUAAUAUAAUAAAUUUUAGUUAUAAUUGA